AUGGUGUCUCUUCACAAGACACAUGAUCAUGAAAGUGGCUUUCCCAGGGCAAGAUUCAUUCACUGCAGGCUGGAUGUGCUGACCCCAUGACCUCCCCCAAUGUGGGAGAUUCAACUGCACAUGCUGUGGCAGUGGGGACUGCAUUUGGACCGUCUUUG
ensembl:snRNA U1 U1 spliceosomal RNA